rnacentral:rRNA from 1 species
AACGAACGCUUGGCGGCAGGCCUAACACAUGCAAGUCGAGCGGGCAUCCUUCGGGAUGUUAGCGGCGGACGGGUGAGUAACGCGUGGGAACGUGCCCUUUGCUACGGAAUAGCCUCGGGAAACUGAGAGUAAUACCGUAUGUGCCCUUCGGGGGAAAGAUUUAUCGGCAAAGGAUCGGCCCGCGUUGGAUUAGGUAGUUGGUGGGGGUAAUGGCCUACCAAGCCGACGAUCCAUAGCUGGUUUGAGAGGAUGAUCAGCCACACUGGGACUGAGACACGGCCCAGACUCCUACGGGAGGCAGCAGUGGGGAAUCUUAGACAAUGGGGGAAACCCUGAUCUAGCCAUGCCGCGUGAGCGAUGAAGGCCUUAGGGUUGUAAAGCUCUUUCAGUGGGGAAGAUAAUGACGGUACCCACAGAAGAAGCCCCGGCUAACUCCGUG